rnacentral:rRNA from 1 species
GACGAACGCUGGCGGCGUGCCUAAUACAUGCAAGUCGAGCGGACGAUUCGAAAGCUUGCUUUUGAAUCGUUAGCGGCGGACGGGUGAGUAACACGUGGGCAACCUGCCCUGUAGACGGGGAUAACACCGAGAAAUCGGUGCUAAUACCGGAUAACACGAAAUGUCGCAUGACGUUUCGUUGAAAGGCGGCGCAAGCUGCCGCUACAGGAUGGGCCCGCGGCGCAUUAGCUAGUUGGUGAGGUAACGGCUCACCAAGGCGACGAUGCGUAGCCGACCUGAGAGGGUGAUCGGCCACACGGGGACUGAGACACGGCCCAGACUCCUACGGGAGGAAGCAGUAGGGAAUCUUCCGCAAUGGACGAAAGUCUGACGGAGCAACGCCGCGUGAGCGAAGAAGGCCUUCGGGUCGUAAAGCUCUGUUGUUAGGGAAGAACAAGUAACGUAGUAACUGACGUUACUAUGACGGUACCUAACGAGAAAGCCACGGCUAACUACGUG